AGUUUGAUCAUGGCUCAGAGCGAACGCUGGCGGCAGGCCUAACACAUGCAAGUCGAACGAACCUUUCGGGGUUAGUGGCGGACGGGUGAGUAACACGUGGAAACGUGCCUUUAGGUUCGGAAUAACUCAGGGAAACUUGUGCUAAUACCGAAUGUGCCCUUCGGGGGAAAGAUUUAUCGCCUUUAGAGCGGCCCGCGUCUGAUUAGCUAGUUGGUUGAGGUAAUGGCUCACCAAGGCGACGAUCAGUAGCUGGUCUGAGAGGAUGAUCAGCCACAUUGGGACUGAGACACGGCCCAAACUCCUACGGGAGGCAGCAGUGGGGAAUCUUGCGCAAUGGGCGAAAGCCUGACGCAGCCAUGCCGCGUGAAUGAUGAAGGUCUUAGGAUUGUAAAAUUCUUUCACCGGGGACGAUAAUGACGGUACCCGGAGAAGAAGCCCCGGCUAACUUCGUGCCAGCAGCCGCGGUAAUACGAAGGGGGCUAGCGUUGCUCGGAAUUACUGGGCGUAAAGGGAGCGUAGGCGGACAUUUAAGUCAGGGGUGAAAUCCCGGGGCUCAACCUCGGAAUUGCCUUUGAUACUGGAUGUCUUGAGUAUGAGAGAGGUGUGUGGAACUCCGAGUGUAGAGGUGAAAUUCGUAGAUAUUCGGAAGAACACCAGUGGCGAAGGCGACACACUGGCUCAUUACUGACGCUGAGGCUCGAAAGCGUGGGGAGCAAACAGGAUUAGAUACCCCGGUAGU
rnacentral:rRNA from 1 species